GAACUUUUGCAGCUGUACGGCUGGAACAAGGCUCCGGUCGCUCUCCAGGAUCUUCUGUACCCAGAAGGAGGAGCUCAGACAGGGCUACAUUCAAAGAGAGAUGGGAAAGAAAUCCAGCAAAAUGAGUACAGUUCUCCAUGAAGAGGGAGACAAAUGGGCACCAACAUGCACAUCUGAGAUGUCACUUGGCCACCACAGCCUGGAGCAGCCCCUGGAAGGUCUGUAGCCCACCCUGCCAACUCACACCUCCAUGAGCUCACUGUGUCCUGCUGCACCAGAGUGCUGCAUCACUCUGCCAGGCAGGGAAUAGAUGGGAUUUGGAACAAGCAGCUGUAAAGUCAUGGUUUAUAAUUCGAUUAGAGAUCAGGAUAAUCAGCUGAGUUGUGUCACAUCUAUUUAGUUUGACUUUGGUUUCUUGGAGGUCUAAGAACAUGGCCAAGGGGGAAUUGAACUGCUUAUUUUGUUUGGGUGUUUGUUGGUUGGGAUUUGGGGGAGGUUGUUUUUGAACAACCUUUUUUAUUUAAAAGAAAAGAAAAACAAACAAUAUUCU
rnacentral:lncRNA from 1 species